CCGUUGAUAUACCAGUUCUCGUUCGAUCGCCGAAGUUAAGCGAGGUUGAGCCUGGUUAGUACGUAGAUGGGUGACCGGAAGGGAAUACCAGGUCCCG